rnacentral:sRNA from 1 species
GCAGAGGAAGAUGGCGCCGCGGAGGGUCAGGUCGUUUCUGCGCGGGCUCCCGGCGCUGCUGCUGCUGCUGCUUUUCCUCGGGCCCUGGCCCGCGGCGAGCCACGGCGGCAAGUACUCGCGGGAGAAGAACCAGCCCAAGCCGUCCCCGAAACGCGAGUCCGGAGAGGAGUUCCGCAUGGAGAAGUUGAAUCAGCUCUGGGAGAAGGCCCAGCGGCUGCAUCUUCCUCCCGUGAGGCUGGCCGAGCUCCACGCUGAUCUGAAGAUACAGGAGAGGGACGAACUCGCCUGGAAGAAACUAAAGCUUGACGGCUUGGACGAAGAUGGGGAGAAGGAAGCGAGACUCAUACGCAACCUCAAUGGAAACCAUAUCAAAUAGAACCUCCCCUCUCUCCUAGUCAUCUUGGCCAAGUAUGGUCUGGACGGAAAGAAGGACGCUCGGCAGGUGACCAGCAACUCCCUCAGUGGCACCCAGGAAGACGGGCUGGAUGACCCCAGGCUGGAAAAGCUGUGGCACAAGGCGAAGACCUCUGGGAAAUUCUCCAGCGAAGAACUGGACAAGCUCUGGCGGGAGUUCCUGCAUCACAAAGAGAAAGUUCACGAGUACAAUGUCUUGCUGGAGACUCUGAGCAGGACCGAAGAAAUCCACGAGAAUGUCAUUAGCCCCUCGGACCUCAGCGACAUCAAGGGCAACGUCCUGCACAGCAGGCACACGGAGCUGAAGGAGAAGCUGCGCAGCAUCAACCAGGGCCUGGACCGCCUGCGCAGGGUCAGCCACCAGGGCUACAGCACUGAGGCCGGUGAGUGCCCGCCCGGGACUGUUGGUUCCCGAGGGUGGGGCCGUCUCUGGUUGUGCUUUGGGGACGAGCAGGCAGGUGCUUGUAGCGACGGGAACCUGGGCCUGUGGACGCAGCGGAGACCCUCGGCGCGCUCAGUCUACCCAGGGGUGGUCACGGGCCUUGCUCCCAGGAGCUGCUCCGUGAAGGUCACUCGCCGUCCCCAGCCUUGUUCCUGGAGACUAGCGGAGGGCAGUGGCGGCAGCGGGCCUGGGAGCAGCCCUUCCCAGCGUCUCCCCAGCCUCAGCAGCACGGCCCCUCCCAUGCUGCUGUUGGCCAAGAACAGAGACCACUUGUCAAACACAGCUCUGUCUCCAUCUCAUGCCACCCGCACUGU